rnacentral:rRNA from 1 species
CCUUGUGACCAAAUGACCCGGUAUGCGCCCGAUCUCAUCACAUUGUCAGAAGCUAAGCAUGGGUUGAGUCUGGAUAGUGCUUGGAUGGAUUAUCACCGUGC